rnacentral:rRNA from 1 species
AUGGCCUCGAUCUGGAGAAGGAGAGGCCAGGAGUGUGGCCUCGAUCUGGAGAAGGGGAGCAGCCUCGCAAAUCUUCAGCCCUCUCAGUCAGAUGGCACCGGUGAGGUCAACCAGGCAGGCAUCGACCACUACAACAAGGUCAUUGAUGCACUCCUAGCAAAAGGGAUUGAGCCAUAUGUUACCCUCUACCACUGGGACCUUUCCCAGGCCCUGGAAGACAAGUACAGUGGGCUGCUUGACAGGCAGAUAAUCAUUGGAUCACCUUCAACGAGCCACACACUGGCGGUGCAGGGCUACGACAGUGGGAUCCACGCGUCGGGUCGCUGCUCUGUGCUCCGCCACCUCUACUGCAAACAAGGGAGCUCCGGCACUGAGCCCUACAUUGUCACUCACAACAUGAUCCUCGCUCAUGCCACGGUUUCAGACAUCUACAGGAAGAAGUACAAGGCAGAGCAGAAUGCAGAGGUGGGGAUGUUGUUGGAUGUGAUAUGGUACGAGCCUGUCUCAAACUCCACAGCUGAUGUUGAGUCCGCUAAGAGAGCACAAGAGUUCCAGUUGGGAUGGUCAGUGAGCCUCACUCACUAA